UGAGUGGUGUGGGUGAACGCCUGAGCGGGCAACAUUCCCCCACCCCUACCCCAGACAGCUGCAAACAUCCUGGGCCACCGAAUUGGAGGCUGUGGCUUUCUUGAAGACAGAGGUGGUCGGUGCUGGAAGAAAGCGCACAGAAUUUGACCCAGCAAGACCUUUGAGAAAAUGUUGCAUUGGACCUGAGAGGUGAAGUUCACCACCAAAUGGGAGCUGAGCGGUUCUUCCCAGGUCCUGGGACAGAGGGCUCGGUGCUGCCCAGAUCAAGGAGCAAAUGCACUUAAAACCAUCGCCUGGAACAUUGCCUUUACUAAAGAGAGGACCGCUCUGCCAUCAGUGUAAUUGUUUCAACACCGUCUCCACGCAGGCAGACUUGUGUCUUGCUGGUUGGAACCUUUAUAUAUCCCAGGCAGGCCUUAACCAUGAGGCCACUGAAGAGCUGAUUUCACAUCUGUACCAGGAACUUACCACAGUUUGCUAAUUUUUGAAGUAUUUAAAAAUUUAUAUUUAUAUCCCAAGGGUGUCCCUCCCUUGACUGAAAAAUUUUAUGUAUUUAUUUUUCUUCACAUAUUCUGAAUAUCAACCCCUUGACCAAUAGGUAGCUGGCAAGAGUUUUCUCCCAUUUUGACGCUUUGUCUCCUCACUCUGGUAACUGUUUCUGUUGCUAAGCAUACACAUUUUAAUUUCAUGCAAUCCCAUUUCCUAUUUUUUUAUUAUUAUUUCCUGGGUGAUGGGAAUCCUAUUCAGAAAGUCCUAGUGAUAUGCCUUUUUCCAUGUUGAAAUAUUGUAUGGUGAUGAAUAACGUGCUAUUAUGAGAAUCAUCAGAGCAACAGCAAAGAUGAAAACCUAACUAACUGAAGACAAGAAGCACUUACUGGGCUGCAGUGACCGGCCUCCGUGACUAUAUGCUCCUUCCGAAGCGUGUACUGGAUAUUAGGGGACUCAAAGGAGAACGAUAUCCUAGUCACUUAGUUUUACUUCUUAGUUUUAGAAUUAGUUUUACUUUUUUUGUAUGUGUGAGUGAGUGUUUGAGUACACGUAUGGGUACUGUGUGUGUGCCUGGUGACCACAGAGGCCUGGAUCCCGCUGAACCCAGUUAGAGAUGGUUGUGAGCUGCUGAGCAUGGGUACUGGGAACUGAAUCAAGGUUCUCUGCAGGAGCUGCCAGUGCUCUUAAGUGUUGAGCCAUCUCCAGCCUUCGAGAAUGCUGGUUUCAUGAAGGAAGGCAUGAGAGGUUGCGGGCAUUGCUAGGCUAAUACCUUGGUCACGUGUUGAGAGCUGACAGGAUGAGUGUGCUGGAUGGACUGGACCGUUAGGUGCCUGUCCCUCCCUCCAGGAGGGAGUGAAGCAGGAGGGUUAUUUGGGCAGUUCUCAGACACUCCAAGGACUGAGCAGGUACAUCUCUCUUUCUAGACAGGACAUGGGGGAAAUAGGAUAUGGUUGGAAACCUCCACAUUUGAAGACCACUGGAGUACAUUCAAAACAUCUUAGCUCGGGGUGUUUCCUUAACACUUACAAGGAUCGUGCUGGGUUUUAACCCCAGCAGUAGGGAAAACAAUGCUAGAGGCAGACGGCGGCUCUGUGUAGCCUUCACCCUGUAAAGCUGAACAGAAACACAGAAGGCAUUUCUACAACUACACAAAUGACUUGUCCUUGUGUGCUCACUCCUAUCUCAGGGUGAUCCGGAAUCCACUGGAGGGUGUCAAAGCAUCCUGUUCCUGAUGGAAACACUGGCGAGAAUGCCCAGGAACCGUUUCCAUCCUCUUACCCCAGAAAUGCAGCUCUGUAGCCAUGGGACAAGGUUAAAGACUUUCUUAAAGUGUUUUCUUUCUUUCAGUAGUUAGUUACCAGACUUGAACCAAAAACCAUUUUGUGUAAAAAGAAAAGAAAUGAAAAAAAAAAUCCAAGAAUAAUCUUGCAUUCAAAUUAUCAUUCUAGAUGAGGCUGCUUUGGUUGGAUAUGCGGAUGAACUUUGGGCUGCCUAUAUUUGUCUACAAAUAUGGGAGUUGGAGAGAUGGCUCAGUGGUAAAAAGAACUUGCUCUUGAACAAGACCUGAGUUCCAUUCCCAGCACCCACAGAGCACCUGACAACCAUCCAUAACUGCAGUUCUAGGGGGUUAAACACACUCUCCUAACCUCCCAGAGCACCAGGCAGCCUGUCCUGCACAGACAUGCACGUGGGCAAAAUGCUCAUAGACACAAACUAAAUUAAAUAAAUCUCUAAAAGAAGGUUUUUAUUAAAAAUAUAUAUAUUGUGCGUGAUUUUUAGAGACAGGUUCAGGCUUUUGCAAUGUCCCCCAAAUGGACUGUGAGCUCCCUUCCCCUGCAUCUAAGAAGCAUUUAUGGUCCAGAAUAUAAAUAGGCUAUGAAUACAAAUAGAGCGUUUUCUUCCCUUUCUGUAUUUCCGCUUAUGGUCAACAGGUGGCAGCAUAGACAUCAGCCUUCAACUCCGCCCCCCCCGCCUACCCCGCCCCCACUUUUUCUGACCUCAAAUAAAUUUGACCAGUAAAAUGCAA